rnacentral:rRNA from 1 species
UACGUAGGGUGCAAGCGUUGUCCGGAAUUAUUGGGCGUAAAGAGCUCGUAGGCGGUUUGUCACGUCGGCCGUGAAAACUCGGGGCUCAACCCCGAGCCUGCGGUCGAUACGGGCAGACUAGAGUGCUGUAGGGGAGACUGGAAUUCCUGGUGUAGCGGUGAAAUGCGCAGAUAUCAGGAGGAACACCGGUGGCGAAGGCGGGUCUCUGGGCAAUUCCUGACGCUGAGGCGCGAAAGCGUGGGGAGCAAACAGG